rnacentral:rRNA from 1 species
AUUGAACGCUGGCGGCAUGCCUUACACAUGCAAGUCGAACGGCAGCACGGGAGCAAUCCUGGUGGCGAGUGGCGAACGGGUGAGUAAAGUAUCGGAACGUGCCCAGUCGUGGGGGAUAACGUAGCGAAAGUUACGCUAAUACCGCAUACGAUCUAUGGAUGAAAGCGGGGGAUCGCAAGACCACGCGCGAUUGGAGCGGCCGAUAUCAGAUUAGGUAGUUGGUGGGGUAAAGGCUCACCAAGCCGACGAUCUGUAGCUGGUCUGAGAGGACGACCAGCCACACUGGGACUGAGACACGGCCCAGACUCCUACGGGAGGCAGCAGUGGGGAAUUUUGGACAAUGGGCGCAAGCCUGAUCCAGCCAUGCCGCGUGCAGGAUGAAGGCCUUCGGGUUGUAAACUGCUUUUGUACGGAACGAAAAGGUUUGACUUAAUACGUUGGACUCAUGACGGUACCGUAAGAAUAAGCACCGGCUAACUACGUGCCAGCCGCCGCCGUAAAAC